GGGGCAUCAUUUAUUUCAUUCAAGCCAAGCCAAUAAGGUAAAAAGUGUACACCGACACAACCAAGUUUCUUAACAUAAUCUCUCUAAUAUUCAGGUUAACAUUGUAACGUAAAUUCGUACUACCAGAGCAUGGAAAGUCUCACUAUCAUUCGUAUUCAGGCCAUCCCCCCGCUUGUGGCUGUCCUGAUGAUCUGAAACAGAGACGACCCAAUGACCACAAAGACGAAAAAACCAAGUAGGAUUGGCCCAACAGGAUAGUCAUUUCCUUUCUUAGCUGUUGUCUCAGGAACAGACCCCCUCUUUGUAAUGUUCUUCUGGAAUUUUGCUGUUUUCCUGUCUGCAAGGCGCCUUGAAGUUGUCAUUUUCUGAAGGAAGGAGAGAGGAGCCUCGCCGGCGUCGCCCAGAUGUCUUCCGGAGACCUACAGAUCCGGCCGAGUUGCGCGAUAUGUAGAGAUCUGAAUCCGUUUCCAGAAAAAUUGAACGGCUGUCACGC
rnacentral:misc_RNA from 1 species